ensembl:lncRNA
AUAUGAGAAUGAUAUAUUUCAGUUACGUGUGCAUCUUUGUAUGAAAUGCAGGGCCAUUGAGUUCGAGAGAAAAAUGCAUUUAGAUCAAAGAGCCUCGUGACUGUGGAUUAUCAGAUGAUCGGCUGAUAACACGCCGUCCUUUGUGCCUGCGGUUGCUGAGAAACGGCGGGUAGUUCAUGUGAGUCGAGCGGGAGCUGACUGAGGGAUGCUGGGAAUCAAAGUCUGUUUAUUAAAUACUGUAUGAGUGACGCCUCUGCAGGAUGAAUCGGCUGCGGUCGCUGCGAUGACAGUUAUCAGUGACAGCCUUCAUCGUGUUUCAUCAGCGCUGGACGCGAGCCACCUCCUCAGUAAGCCUGCGGAUCACACUGGAUGCUUUUCCAACUCGCUGUCCUCGGAUGAACCGAAGGCCGCUGCCAAGAUUCAGCUCAGUUUAUAGAAGGUAACUGGGUUACAAACCAACCAGCACAACAGAGAGAUGCAGGCCCAGAGAAUGAACCAGUCAGUACUGAGGAAACACACAGUAAACUGAAAACUCCAGAUCUGGACCGGGUUUGUUGAUGUUGACCGUUCAUGUGCUGACUAAUGCUAGAAAAAGAUGUCACCGCAAAGGACUGCAGUCGGGAUGAAGAUGACGUAGGUCUCGUUUUGCACUGAUGCAGCGUUCCUGUUUCAGACUCUUUCUGCUACAAACCUUCUGACUCUCUUAAACUGAGUGAAGAACAUAGUUAAGCAACACACAUUCAGCAGAAUGACCUCAUGGCUGUCAGAAGAGCUGCUUCCAUGGAAACACCAUAAUCCAGUUUACAAAGAGACGGCGAGACAACGCUCCUCAAGUGCCUCAUCUAGACAUACACUCCUGUUCCUCUGACAUGAUUCACCUGAUCCUGAAGAAUGCCACAAUGAGAGCAGACUUUUGUUGUUGUUGCUUUCACAAAGAAUAGCCUAAGAAAUCUCCGAUAUCUCCACAGCCUGAAUAUUAUUUGUAUGAACUAAGCUGUUUGCAUUAAGAAUUAUAAACCAAAGGAACGAUUCAUUUCUUCUGAAAGAGUGUUUAGAGUGAGUUUCAUCAUCAUCUGAAUGCUCUGUUUGUCUUUGUCUCAUUUCAACAGUUUAUUCUGUGUUGAAGAUGUUUGAGGUUACAGCAGUUGAUUCUGGAAGGAUAUUACACUCGUAAACAAAACUCCAUAUGACUGACGAACAAAAUCUGCUACUCGAGUUGCAUCAUGACAUUCGGUUCAGACGCUCACCUCAGUCCGUUUUCAUAAAUAUAGAGUUAAAGAUUGAAUGUGAUGCGUGACGUAAGGCAGUGGCUGAAGAAGGCAUCUGUCACAGACGUGCUCCUCUGCAUAUUUACAUGUAACAUACACUCCUUACUCUGUCUUUACUAAUGGUGUGCUAUUUUUGUCUGGCUAAAUGUUGUCUGAACAUUGAAUGCAUUCUGAACUUCUGAACUUAACAACAUAUUUAAAGCGUAAUAUGAUACAGUGUGCAGAAUCUUACAUGUUUAGGUUGAAAGGUGAUACAGUAAUGCACGGCUGUCACGUAAAGCAAUGGCUGUUUUAAGAUUCUUGCCCCGAGCAUAUAUGUGAAACAAUAACUACC